rnacentral:misc_RNA from 1 species
AACGCACGAGACCUGCGGACCUGCGGAAGGAUCAUUACCGAAGUCCUGGAGCGGGCCCUGUGCCGUUUUCGUUGAACGUGCACGGCCUGCCUCUCUCGCACACACACACCCGUGCACGGAAGGGGAAGGGGGGGUUUGUUCUCCUUUUCCCCCCAUAAAAAAAAAACGCCUUUUUGAAACUGGGAGGACACGACGUGUGCAACCUUUGACAACUUUCAACAAUGGAUCUCUAGAUCGGAA